AGAGAAAGAGAGAAAGAGAAAGAGAGAAAUAUAAAAAAGAAUAAAGUUAUUCUUCCUUUUUUUCCAUUUGAAAAGGAUUGAUAUAAGUUCGUUGUUCAAGGACAACCGUGAAUCACGCCAUCAAAGCUUCUUCUCCUUUCUGUUGGAAAGGAUAAUAAUUUCAUUCAAGGAUACCGGAAAUAGUGUUUGACAUUCAUUCCGCAAGAAAAUUGAUUGAUCAGUUUCCGUGAUUAUCAAGAUCGUGUAUCUAAAUUUUUUCUUUUUUGUCUCUUUUCUUGUUUCUUUUUUUUUGAUAUAGUUCAUUUUUAUUCAGAAAACAUGGCUUAUCGAUCGACCGAGACUGUAUAAAGUAUCGAAGUUUUCGCAAGAAGAAUAAAAUAUUCGAAGACUAUAGAUUGACAAACAAGGUCACCCAUGUGUAACAAACAGAUUAGAUCCGUGACUUUUACUAAAUCAUUCGUAAAUAAAAUGGUAUUUUUCUUGUAAGAUAUUCUCGUUUAUCAUUCAGAUAAUCUUUUAAAAUAUAUCGAUUUAUCAUUCUAAAGGCAAAGUGUUUAUUCGGAUAAAUAGAAGAGAAACGAUUGAGGAAAAAUCUUGUAAAGUCAGGGAUUAAAAAGAAAAACACAUGAAAAAAAAAGAGAGCGAGAGGAAAACGACAUAAGGAAAACGAAAAGAAAUGAUAAGAUAAGAUAAGAAAAAAACGUGAAGAGAGAAAAUGCCGUGAAAAGAAUGUCGGACUCGUUUGACUCGAAUCGAAAGAAGAAAGAUCUACGCGCGAAACCGAAUUUUGCCGAACUUCGACGAAUGUUACGACAGUACGGGUGGGGAGUUACGAAAAUGAUCGAGAGAAGGAGUACUGGCGUACAGUCGAUAAGAGAUAAGAAACGAAGACUUACUAAUUACAACGUUCGUUAACGUAGAUAUCAACAAAAAAUUUCCUUUCCACGAUGAGGAGUAAUAUCUCACCUUGGACUAUUUGAUUCUCGUCUCGUUCAGAAAGAUCUGAAAUAAAAGGAGAAAGAAAAGAUCAGAGGGAAGAAAGGAAUAAGUGGAACUCCGAGUAUUAUUGGUGAAAAGGUUGUAAAGCAAGAGAAAAGCAAGCUCUUUCGUUGUGCGCGGGAACCAUUUCAGUUUGGUGAAAAAAGCAGAAAGAGGAAAAGAUCGUGUCUAACGAGAGGCUCGAACAAGCGGAAAAUAAAAAACAAGUUUUGUACACGAAUAUCAUAAAGUUUUAUCUUUUUUCUUUUCUCUCUCUCUCUCUCUCUCUCUCUCUCUCUCUCUCUCUCUCUCUCUCUUUCUCUUUUUCCUUUUUACUUUACUCUUUUCGUUUGGAAAGAACUGGAAGAAAAUCGUGUGCAAUCGCGUAAUACGAUGUGUCGUGCAGAAACGCGUGAUGGUGCCGAAUUAUAGCUAAUAUUUGUCGGUAGUGUUCGGCACGUACACACAUAUAUAUAUACAAAUCGCACGCAUAUAUAUAUAUAUAUACAUAGACACAUCUAACAUACGUAUUUAAUUACUUCAUCAAGAGAAAUCGCCAUCUUGUUACUUCAAAAUGAUACGAAUCUUCACCGAUACCUUCAGGAAUUUAAUCAAAAAACACUAAACGAAUUUGAUAGUAUAAAAAUGUAAGAAAUUUAUCCGUUACUAGUCGGAUCGAUAUCUUUUCUUCACUCCAUUCGCACGUGCUUAAACUCGGCUUCCUUUCGUCAUAAACGAGUCUCUCUACUCGUGCUUCGCACGUGGAAUACGUGACUGACGCAACGUAUCAGAGAACUGCACGAGAGUACUGCUCUUUUCUCUUUAUUCGACGUCAUAUUGAUAUUUCGAAUAGUGUUCGAUCUAACGUAAAAUUAUUUUCCGUGUCAAGUAACAUCGUUCGAAUUGCUUCGACAUGAAAAGACAAAAAGAGAGAGGAAA